rnacentral:rRNA from 1 species
AGUGAACGCUGGCGGUAGGCCUAACACAUGCAAGUCGAACGGCAGCACUGUAAGCGCUCGCCCUUACGGGUGGCGAGUGGCGGACGGGUCAGCAGUCAAUCGGCAUCUAUUUUUUCGUGGGUGACAACGCAGGGAUUCUCAUGCUACAUCCGCAUAAGACCUACCGGUGAACUCAAUAGACCUUUCGCUCUUGAGCGAUCGAAUGAGACGAUUCCGCAUUAGCUAGCUCGCGGGGUAAUGGCCCACCAAUGCGACGUUCCGUAGCUGGUCUGACAGGAUGAUCAGCCACACUGGAACUGAGACACGGUCCAGACUCCUACGGGAGGCAGCAGUGGGGAAUAUUGGGCAAUGGGCGCAAGCCUGAUCCAGCCAUACCGCGUGAGUGAAGAAGGCCUUCGGGUUGUAAAGCCCUUUUGUUGGGAAAGAAAAGCAGCAGAUUAAUACCCCGCUGUUCUGACGGUACCCAAAGAAUAAGCACCGGCUAACUUCGUG